rfam:Triticum aestivum genome assembly, contig: Triticum_aestivum_CS42_TGACv1_scaffold_196311_3AL
CAACUACUCCCUCCAUCCCAAAAUUCUUGUCUUAGAUUUGUCUAAAUACGGAUGUAUGAAGUCAUAUUUUAGUAUUAAAUACAUAUGUAUCUAGACAAAUGUAAGACAAGAAUUUUGAGACGGAGGGAGUAUGUU